UACGGAGGGGGCUAGCGUUGUUCGGAAUUACUGGGCGUAAAGCGUGCGCAGGCGGCUUCGCAAGUCAGACGUGAAAUCCCCGGGCUUAACCUGGGAAUGGCGUUUGGGACUGGAAGUCUGGAGUGCGGCAGAGGAGACUGGAAUUCCUGGUGUAGCAGUGAAAUGCGUAGAUAUCAGGAGGAACACCGAUGGCGAAGGCAGGUCUCUGGGCUGACACUGACGCUCAUGCACGAAAGCGUGGGGAGCGAACAGG
rnacentral:rRNA from 1 species